GGCCAAGUCCCCGCAGAAGGGGAAACACUGCGGGGGAAGAGGCGUCGAGAGCCCGCAGCGGGCUCUGCGCGCCCUCCCCACUCCCCGCCACCGAGCCGCCUCCCCGCCGCGUCGCCGCCGCUCCCCGAUCCGAGCUGCUAUCGCAGAAUCCGCCUUUGCCGGGCUGCGCCCCUCUCCUGCCCCUGCCCCGAGUGCCGACGGGCGGCUGCAGUACGGGCUCUGCGGGGCCCUUUUCGCCGGGAGCUGGGCACGAGCAAGGGCCGGAGAAGGGGCCAGGGGGUCUCCGAGCGGGACACGGGGCGCCCGCGGGCCCUUCGAGCAUACGCGUUCCGAGGAGCGCCGCUGCGCCGGGACGGGCCCCCCGCGGCUGCCGAUCCGAGGAGCGCUGCUUCAGUCUGCAGUGAGAAGCAGGAGCAACUUUUAGCUACAGGCAGUAGGAAGCUGAGGAGCUGGAGCUGAGGCAGCAGAGCCGGAGGAGACAGAAAUGUGUGAGAAGAACACAAACUCACAACCAUUAAGGCCUGGCAGUUCCCUGCAGUGAGAGCUCAGCACACAUCCAGAGGCAAUUCCAGCAUCUGAAAGGAAGAAGAAAAAGGGACUGUUUCAUCAACCUCUGAAGCUGACAAGCCCAAAGGCUCUGGAGUCUGUCUGCUCUGGAACACAAGGAUACUCCCAGGGAUGAGGCACAUUCCCAGCAAACGCUCCCAACACGGCACAGAGGCACCACUGGAGCUCGUGUUGGGGCUGGGAAGGGCUGCCAGGAGGACACAGCCCCCAGCUGGGGUGGCAGUGGCAGCGACAGCAGCAAAUUCCACAGGCUGAUGGCACAACAGAGGGACAAAGGCCAGCAAUGGCCACGGAGCUGCAGGUUUCAUUGUGCUCCCUGCGCUGCCACAUCCCGGCAGGAAAGCUCCAGGGGGGACAGAAACUCCCUGGGUGCACAAAGUGCAGCCUCUGUGCCCCUGAUCCUGCUGGAACUCAGCUGUGGGGCCAGCCCCCAGGGUAAACACUGCCCUGCCUGCAGCAGCCUCAGGCACUGCCCCAUUCUCAGCUCCCCCUGCCCCGGGGCUGCCACCACAUUCCUGACCAGGAGCCAAAGGCCCCUUGGGACAGGGCUCUCUCUGUGUCUCAGCCUUGGGGACUGCAGGGACCAGGCAAGGACAGCCUGAAACCAGGGCAGAUCCCUCUGGGGACAGCUGGGGACUCACCCCACACCACGGGCAGGACCAGGGGCCCUCCAGUGCAGGCUGGAGCCUGUUGGGUUUGGCUGCUCAAACACCAAAGCUUUGGGCAGAGAUGGGAUGACUUAAGUGGUUUUUCCUGUCCUGAAAGAGAGGAGAAAAUGGAAAUCAGGUCCACUCUGGAAGUCAAAGGCUCCUGGCUUUCCUACUUCUGUUCUGAUUGCCCACUGUGGGGUUCUAUCCAUAAAAAAAUGAGAGGUGACACCACAUAAUACCCCUUGUGAAGAUUUUAUUCCUUACAUACAUAAAAAGAAUGCCUAUUUUUU